AACAAAAAGAGAACACGAAAGAGAAGAACGGCGUCUCUGAUGUAAUCGGGAGACACCUGUCAGCCAGAGGCAGAAGUGGUCUGAGCCCAGAGGAGGAACGUGACCCGAGCGCCCGCCAGAGAGAAGUCAGCAGUGGAUGACUGGUCACCACGUCUUGGGACGGGGCGCUCCUGGGCUGAGGUCGGUGCUGCAGGCAGGCCUGGACCUGGAACCCGCCUCGCAGGUGCCCAGGAUAACGCCGGAGGGAUGGAAGGAGAGAAGCUCCAGGCCCAGUGGACGGGGUGCAGGGGGCGUGGAGGACACUGGGAGCAAGGAGAGUGAGGCGCACCUGGCCCGGGCCACAGCCGGGCUGCACCUGAGGACGCCAAGCUGAGUGAAAUGAACCCGGCACAAAAGGACACAUACGAAAACCCACAACAACAGCAAAGAAAGACGCUGAUGUCCGCUCCCCAGGGCACCUCCGGAACGCUGAUGGCCAGGCGGUGCUCCCACCGGCAGGGCCUGGAAGAUCCUCUUCAGAAGGAACUAAACAGUCCCAGAGAACAGACCUGAAGACACUGCCGGGUGAGGAUGCUGACAGUGAGCCCGGUGGUCCAGAGGCCCUUGAUCCACAAGACGUCUCACCGAAGCAAGGGGGAGAAGUGCCUUUUUAUUUUGCAAAGCUAGGCCUAUAGCUUCUAAACCACACAAAAAAGAGACAUGUCCAGCGCUUUUCCGGGUAAAGAAAGUAUUCUCCGAUAACUUAAUCGUCAGUGGGCCUGUCGGAAGCAGUUUUAUAACAGUGACGGAACUGGUAUGUACUGUCUAUGUUCACCAGUUUCCAUGCUCUCUAUGGAUCGAGUCCUCGGAUAAUUAAGUAAGUAGGACUGUCCGCUCUGUUCACAUGUCCUAAUGCUAGAGGCUCUCAUAACAUACAACGCUUGUGACUGGGAAACCUCAUCAACCCAGAACUCCCGAAAGGAUGACACAUCCCUGGUCCUAUCAGAGGACAAGAGACUGCAGAAUAGACCAACUGAUGCUCUCUGGUUGGUCCUAUCAGGUUUGUGUGUGUGUGUGAGAUCCUCACUGCUUUUCUCCUGGUUAUUUUAUAAUUUUUAUGGUUUUUCACCCCGAGCAUUUUCUAAUCGUGGGCAUUGAGCACAGCAGGUCAGACUGAGAAGGCCGGGAUUCUGCAGCGGCUCUGCCAGGAGCUCGUGAUGCACUUCUGGGCAAGAGUCCCCUUCUCAGAGCCUCAGGGCCUCGUCUAGCAUCACUGUGGAGCAUGCAGCACAUACCAUACAACAUGUGUGGGGCUGUAUGUUUAUCUGAUCAGAUGUCAUAUAUAUAUAUAUAUAUAUAUAUAUAUAUAUAUAAAUCUUUCUCUAUAGGUUAUAGGUUGUAGAUAUAUAAUGUCAGAUAUCCGGGCUGAUCAGGAAAUACUGUCCCCAUUUUGCAGGGGUGCUAUUCAUGAACUUCAGUGUCUAGAACAGAGCGGCCGUCAGAAUAUGAAAUGCGGGCACCAGAGGGGUUUCACGGUACAGUCAGCCCACUGCACAGGCACCACUGAAGGCCUUCCCCUCCGGCUGGCCCCCCGGGCCCCAGCUUGUCUACGGCUCAAGCCCGAGGGGCAGUGAGGGUGACGAGGAGCGCAAAGGCCGUGCGACUGCUCUGUCCCAAAGCUCCCGAAGCCCCUGCGUGGCCCCUGAGGCUCGCGUCCGCUCCCGCCCAGCUCCGUGCCUCCAGCCCCUGACCGGGACCCCGUGGGCCACCCAGGCCCUUCUGUCAAGUCCCCGAGCUCCCUGCUGCUGCCGGGAUCACUGUUUAGAACCUGCAGCCCUGCCCCAGCCCCGGGCCCUACACCACCGUGCCCCCUCCAUGGCGCCCCUCCCAUCCUACGCGCUGGCCCUCUUGCCGGAGAUGAUUAUGAGUGACUGUUAUCAGCCUCUCCCUCCUCAGGCGUUAGCUCUCAAGGGCAAAAGCUGGCACUGCUCCAUCCGGGCACUCGUGAGUGCCUGGGCUCCCUCAGAUAUUUUUUGAACGAGGGAAUGACUUAAACAUUAAAGAUUUAACUUAAAAUUGGCCGUAUCCAUUAAUUUUGUUAAAAGCCAAACAUAAACAAGAAUGUGACAGCUUGGGGAAAAAUCCCUCUUCUUGCACAUUCCAGCAUGGAUCCUGGAAAAAGGGAGAGCUGGGAGAACCUGGCUCCGAGGAGGUUAGGAAUCCGGAAAUACUGAACGAUGUCCCCACGUCCAGUAAGCCAAAGACCUGAAGAAUCUGUCCCUCACACACAGAGGUGGUUAUUUCCUGACGAGGCAGAGACUCCAAAGUCCCUUGUGUGAACUUCUGCUUCAAAACUGACCGAGAAAGAAUUGUAAAAGCCUUAUCUUGGGAGGGGCACCUGUGUCUCAUCCUCUAAUGCAUCCUUAUCAGCAGCACCCGUGAUGGUGCCAGGCACAUUCUAGGCAGCAAGGGGUGGAAUUGAUUAGCGAAGCAAAAGAAUAUACGCUCCAUCAGGCGAGAGGGCAGAGAAGUUUCUAAGCAUAUCUUAGGACACCUUCCGGUAACGACCGUCAAAAUAAAGUUCCGGCACCGUGGGCUUACUUUGCUUUUGGAUAUAAGUUUAUCUUUUUAUGACUCAUGCCACUUGGCUUUUUUCUCAUAUAUACCAAGUGAAUGGAAAUAGGUAAGUAACUGAUACCUGGGUAGGGAAUUUUCCCAUAGGUGACGAUUUCGUACAGGAGAAUUCCAAAGGACCACACGUCAGACUUAAUAGUGAAACAUCCAAAGUUGAUUGCUUCUGGAGCUGUCCACUUAAUGGGGAACUUAGCACCUAGAGCAGAAGACACAGGUGUUUUACUUGGGUCUCUGAGCUGAAACAAAAGAGUCAUGGGCGUGUGACCCUCACACUUUCCUUUGCGGGGAAAAUUUUAAUGAAUGAUUUUGAACAGGUUAACACAUACACACAGUAGAAAAUAGAGAUGGUACAAAAUGUCAUACUAAGAAUGUUUGCCUCCCUCUGUUUCCCUCGCGGGCAUUCCCCUCUUAAGAAGCAAAGUUUCUUGUGUAUUGUCUUAGCGAAAUCACAACUAGCACACUUGAAACAUGAGAACAUGACACCGAAUGGAAAGGCAUCUAUUCUUAGCUUGUACAUCUGUCCCAACACAUCAGCCUUCUACAGCGUGUAUCCUUCGUGUUCACAUUUUCUCUAAUGACCCAGAGCAUGUUUAUACGGAAUAUACGUAUCUCGAUGUGUAUAUUCUCGUGGAUAAAUCUCUUGAAGCCUGUACCAACGGGGAUUUUAGCUGCUACUCCAAGCUUUCAUUUGAUAGGACCAAACAUUACUCUUCUAGGAACUGCGUAGGUUGAUGAUCUGCCCAGAGUGAGAUGACGAUGAAACUAGGUUUCUCACGAGAAACUGGUGAGGCUCAGGUCGACUUAGCCGCCGGGUCACACUGGGAGGCAAGCCUGGCCCCGGGGAACUCGCAGGGUCACCUCAAGGGAAGCAGGGGCUCGGGCACUUCUGCACCCUGGAAAGGCAAGGGCU